rnacentral:tRNA from 1 species
UAGCCUAGUGGUUAAGGCUUUGGAUUGCCAAUCCGGAGACAACGGGUUCGAUUCCCGU